rnacentral:rRNA from 1 species
ACGAACGCUGGCGGCGUGCUUAACACAUGCAAGUCGAACGCUGAAGCUCAGCUUUUGUUGGGUGGAUGAGUGGCGAACGGGUGAGUAACACGUGAGUAACCUGCCUCCUUCUUUGGGAUAACGCCCGGAAACGGGUGCUAAUACUGGAUAUUCACUGGUCUUCGCAUGGGGGUUGGUGGAAAGGGUUUUUCUGGUGGGGGAUGGGCUCGCGGCCUAUCAGCUUGUUGGUGGGGUGAUGGCCUACCAAGGCUUUGACGGGUAGCCGGCCUGAGAGGGUGACCGGUCACAUUGGGACUGAGAUACGGCCCAGACUCGUACGGGAGGCAGCAGUGGGGAAUAUUGCACAAUGGGCGCAAGCCUGAUGCAGCGACGCCGCGUGAGGGAUGGAGGCCUUCGGGUUGUGAACCUCUUUCGCUCAUGGUCAAGCCGCAACAAUGGUUGUGGUGAGGGUAGUGGGUAAAGAAGCGCCGGCUAACUACGUG